AUUGAACGCUGGCGGCAGGCCUAACACAUGCAAGUCGAGCGGAGCGGCGGACGGGUGAGUAAUGCAUAGGAAUCUGCCUGGUAGUGAGGGAUAACUGCCGGAGAAGGUCGAUAAUAACGCAUACUAUCACAUGACGCUAGGUCGGAUUAGCUAGUUGGUGGGGUAAAGGCCUACAAAGGCGACGAUCCGAACCUGGUCCGAGAGGAUGAUCAGCCACACUGGAACUGAGACACGGUCCAGACUCCUACGGGAGGCAGCAGUGGGGAAUAUUGGACAAUGGGCGAAAGCCUGAUCCAGACAUGCCGCGUGUGUGAAGAAGGUCUUCGGAUUGUAAAGCACUUUAAGUUGGGAGGCGUUACCAACAGAAUAAGCACCGGCUAACUUCGUGCCAGCAGCCGCGGUAAUAC
rnacentral:rRNA from 1 species